ensembl:lncRNA novel transcript
AUAAGCAUAAUAAGAGGCGUGUUCCACCACUGUGGACGGGGUCCCUGGGCUUUCCCCUAGGGUCCCAUCAGCUGCUUAUGUUCUACCUUCUGACGGAUCACAGGAGGAGCCUGCAGCGGAGGAGCCUCCUCCUCCUCAGCAUCAGACCUAAAGGGAGUGUCCUGCCUGAAGGACCGGCUCAAGGUCGCACUAACAGCUCUUGCUAACUCCUGUUCCAGGCUGUUUAUCUGGGCCUCCAAGUACCCUGCUUGCGCCUGGAGGUCUCUCACCCCCAGGUCCUGCUCAAAGCUGUGCACUUGGGCCCCCAGGCAUGCGGCUUGCUCCGGAAGGUCCCUUACCUGUGGCACUGAGCAUGUACUUCCUGCAGUGCAGUUAGAAAUGCCCAUCCGACUCUGCUUGCAAAGUUCCUUUAUUUAUAGGCACAGCUGCUUAAAGACUGUUACCGGAAAGGAAUCCUGAUCCAGACGCCAAGAGAGGGUUCUUGGACUCAUGCAAGAAAGACUUCAGAAUACGAGUUUUGAAUUUUUGAAUUGCUGUUAAAACUUUCAUCAUGAACACUGAAGUGAGUGAAAAGAGACUUUUGCAGUCAUUUUUUUGUUCUCAGGUCCCUGGACCAUGAAGGGCCACAUCCAAGGAGCUACCCCAGGAGGCCUCUCAUUUGCAUUUGUCCCCGCUAAUGCAGGACAGAGAUCAUGGAAGUUGGGCCCGACUGGAUGAGAUUUGGGGGUCUUUGGAAGUGGAGAAUGUGUUUGCCCUGGGGAAGAGAGGUGAUGUCUAGGAGACCUCUUCACUCAGGGCAAGCUCUAUGACCUGCUUUGACUCCAGAAUGUGGUAGAAGUGGCAUCACAUAAAUUGCAGAGCCUAGGCUUCAAGAGACCUUGCAACUUGCCUCUCACUGACUUGAAGUGCUCCCAUCAGAGCAUCUUGUAAGGAGCAGGUGGAGCAUGUGGACAAGCCAUCCCCACCAGCCCCUGAGACAUGUGAGAGAGGCCAGAACAGGCCAUCCGGACCCCACUGUGCUGGUGGAUGAGACAGCAGAAGGAAUAUCAACCUACCAACAGAAUCCUGAGAAAUGCUCACUCUUACUUCAAGCUGCUGCAUUUUGAUGUUAUGAAACCAUAAAUAACUUAUGAAGUCAUCUUUGCUGACUUAAAGUUUUCCAUAACUUUAUUAUAACAUAUCAAAAUUAUGAAAAAUGUGAAAAGUAGAAAACUGAUGAAUUUUGCUUCUUCAUAUGGUCUUUAAGAAUCUCAAAGGCACUGAAGUUUUUUAUCUUUUCUGUCUUAGAAUAAAAAACCUUGAAUGAAAAUCUGCUUCUUGGAAAAGCAGCAAGGUUUAUGCAGAGGCAAUCUGGUAUUUGUGUGCACUGGCAGCUGAUCAUACCCAGCAUGCACGCACUCUCAGGGCAGAGUCUGAUGCCCCACAUAAUGGGGCAUGGUAAGGACUCCCAUGUCCUUGAGAUAAAAUGAUAAGGAAAAUACACACUGCUAUUAGAAUAACAGGCCCAGCUUCUGCACAUUUUAAUUCCCAAAGUUUUCAUGAAAGACAAUGAUUUUUUGGUACCAUGUUUAACUCUACAAGAAUCAGUAGUGAAAACUAAAAAUGAUACUUUGUGAAAGUUCAUUAAUUUUGUUUUCAGCCAGUGGUGGCCUUGGUCAGAUAGAAUCAAAUCUAUGAUACUUUUUAUCAGAAAUGCUUAUACUGUGUACAAACCCAAAGUGAUGGCUUUCAAAGAUUGAAUUUGAUUAUUUUCUGUAUGGUGCAGAUGAAAAAUUACUACACAGGAGAAGGUGGGUUGGAGGUGCUCACGAGUAACCAGGAAACAGUCUGAAGUUUUUCUGAUACUUCUCCUUGGUCCAACCAAAUGUGAGAUAUAAACACAAACUUGGGAUUCCGUUCUUAUGUUUUGGUUGUUUCAGUCUUUACAGAUGUAUCGAAAGGCUGUCCAAAAAUGUCUGACUUCUGUAGUGUGCCUUCGUAGCACUAGAGGGUUCUGCAGCUGUGAAACUGAAGGCAUUGGCAAGAAGCCCUCCAUCUUCAAACCACUUUCUGCUAAGGUGUGGCUCUAUAAAACCACUAUGAGCUGGGCUUCACUGAGACUGAGUUGUUUCAGUAGGAUCUUCCGGAAAAACAUGUUCCCUCCUUUACCUGGGUUGUCAUUCUGAGAACAAUCACACCUCCAAUUUUGGCUUACUAAGCAAUAGCGUUUUAAUGAUUUUAAGCCAGGAUUUGCUCCUCCUUUCCUCAGUAUGAGAGCUUAACCACUGGAGGAACCAAGAAUUCAUGCUGGUUGGGUUCUGAUUCCACUUUAACUUACUGUAUAGCCUCAUCCCUUGUUUUUCUGGAGAUUCUCUUUUUCUGCUUCACUGAUUUAUAUUUACAUUAAAAUCAAAUGAGGCCAUGUUUCUGAAAUCACAUUGUCCCUACAUGGUCAUUACAAUGAGUCUGUAAUGUGACUGAAAGACAGCCAUGGAUACAGGUAGAGGAUAUCAGGCAAUUGAAUGCUCAUCAAGCAUUCAAUUCAGGGCAAAUGGCAUAAGGUAUGCAGUUGGCCUCUUCUGAUAUCUGUGUCUUAAUCCUUUCUUUAGCCUCUGUUUUCUGGACCAAGGCUAAGAUAUUUUCUGGGCACAGUGGCUCAUGCCUAUAAUCCCAGCACUCUGGGAGGCCAAGGUGGGAGGAUUUCUUCAGCCCAGGAGUUCGAGACCAGCCUGGGGAACAUAGGAGACCUCAUUCCUACAAAUAAUAAAAAAAAUUAGCCAGC